rnacentral:piRNA from 1 species
UCACAGAGUCAGGGAUUCGACUCAGGA